rnacentral:rRNA from 1 species
UCGGGAUAACACCUGGAAACAGAUGCUAAUACCGGAUAACAAACAGAUGAUGCCUAUCAACUGUUUAAAAGAUGGUUCUGCUAUCACUCUUGGAUAGACCUGCGGUGCAUUAGCUAGUUGGUAGGGUAACGGCCUACCAAGGCGAUGAUGCAUAGCCGAGUUGAGAGACUGAUCGGCCACAUUGGGACUGAGACACGGCCCAAACUCCUACGGGAGGCAGCAGCA